AGACUGGAAUAUGAAUAGGAGAGGCCUGAAUAGAAAGAUGAGCAAUAAAAAGUAGCAAUAACAAUAAACGCGUACCCUUACAGAGCAUUUUGUUUUUAGAUGGGGUCAGUGACCCCUAUUUGAAAGCGGGCAGAGUCAGGAGGAGAAGAAGGCCUGAAUACAAAAGUCAUUUAAAAAAUAACAAUAAAACAGUAGACUCAAAGAGCAAUAGUUGUUUUAGCUGAUGGGUCAGUGACACUGCCGCUUAAAAGCUGGAAAAAGCCAGAAGAGGUAGGCAAAAGGAGAUUUUGUGUACUCCCUGUUAAAUCUCUUUAUCUUCAGUCACUUGGGGGACAGUGGGGUAUAGCUGGCACCUCUAGGAGGCAGGACACAAUAAAAAAAAUAGAAACUUGACCCCUCCUGCUAUACCCCUCCUCUGUAGGCAGAGACACUCAGUUUCGUUGUGUCCUCAGGAGGUUAGGACCGUCUCCUGCAUUCAGGAGUAUUUUACUAUUUAUUUUGCUCUUCUUUUUAUUUCAUUACAAUUCCUUCACAUUAUAUGGAGCUGGACAGCUACACUGAGUAGUCUGAUCCAUUACUUGAGGAUGUCACCGGGGUCUCUUGUGCUCUGCACCGACCAUCCAGCAUUAAUUCCCUCCCUCUGACGUCCAGAGAGAGGAUGCGCUGGCCGGGACACAGGGCUGAGGUAUAGCCAGGUUCAUCCUGUGGCUCAUUCCUCCUUAUAUGCCUCCAGCAUCCCUACUCUGGGAACUCCUGCUGUGGCUCAGCAGUAUAGGACAGGCAUGGACUGGGAGUCAAAAUAGGCCCUGCCCUUCCAAGUACAUAGAGGCCCAAACAGCCCCCUACCAGCCCACUAUAUGGUAACUUUCUAUGGAACCACACAGCAUCCCCUCUGGCAUUUGCCAGAACCCACAGAUUGCCAGUCCGGGCCUGGUAUAGGAUACUUUGUUAGUUCAGACCCAGGCAGUAUGUUAAUCAGCCUCCACCAAACACACAGGCAAUGGGAAUGGCAAUUAUCACCGGUUGCGCACCACUAUUUUACAAGCGACUUCACCAGGGCUUUCUUUCACUCUACCUGGAGAGGCAACGGCUGGGCCAGAUUUUGCGCUUACUGUACACGCACCUGGUGCGCAACCUGGAAGUGCGAGCUGGUGCCUUAGGCGCCAUUUUUCUAAGGCGCACGUCGGCACCAUACGUCACUGCUAGGGGAGGAGCCAUUCUUUGUGCUCUCCAUUGCGUGCCCAGGCAGCUACUUCCCAUUGAUUCUGGAGGAGGUUCCUCUUCCAGCGACACUUCAGUCUCCAUUACUAGCAGACUCACCACGCUGGGCAGAGCUCUUCCCAAGCUUCUCUAGAGUGCAGCCCCCCCCCCCAUUUUUUCCUAGAACACAACAGGGCAGUACUUUUGACACAGUGGGGUUUUUAGCUAUUGCCGCCCUGUGUCCCCCAAGCAGACCUGGAGAAAUUAAUUUUAAAGUGAACUACAGCUUUAAAGGGAGUAGUUUGCCUUUUACAUAAACCUGUUUUUUUGCAACUUAUUUGUCUCUUCUCAGUUAAAAUGCCAUCUCGUUGUUAGGGGGGCACUGACCCCAGCAAGCAAAAGAAGAUUGCUCUGAGACUACAAUUUUACUGUUUUUUUGUUUUUUUUUUAAUGCUCUCUAUUCAGAGUUAAUUUUUGUUCAGCAGCCAAUUUAAAAACAACAUGAAAUUAAAGUGGAAACAAUGUGCAAAUUAUCACAGAAUAUCACCUACCCUUUUUUGGGGGGUGGGGGUUGUCUUGGGUUCCAAUUUAGAUUGCAGAAUAAGAUCUGUGACUGAAAAACUGGGUUAGAACCGGUGUGGACCACGUGCCUUGUAUUUAAUGUUUUCUCUUGCCUAGAUUGGGGGACACAGGCACCAUGGGGAUAAAGAUCCUGCAGCUGGAGAGCAGACACUAAACAGUUAAAUGACUCCUCCUCCUGCUCUCUUCUUUAUCCCCCUGCCUACUUCCUGUUCUCCUCAAUUUUAUUUUAGUGUCCUCAGAAGAAGGACUGACACUAGUGGCUCUGGAGCAAGUGUUUAGGAGGAUAGUUUCCAAAAAGCAUGCCACACAGGGGCAAAGGUUCUCUUUCUAGAGCCCCUCCAGCCUAAUGGUUAUUUUUUAAUGCCCACUGCCUUCCCACUCUACGCCACACCAAAUGGCUUCCUCAGGCAGUGGGGCUGAGGAUCAGUUGGUGACCUUACUGCCUCCGCCUACCUGCCAGCCACCUGCCUGCCUAACUGGCCAUCCGCUGCCCCCUACCACUUCUUUCGCGCCCACCAUAUUCACCUUACUUGUGCUUUCAGUCUCCUCGUGGCUUCCCUUGGGGAGAACUGAUCUCGGCCGCCAUCUUGGAUCAUGCGGGAUUUCGUGGCUGCCUUCUUGGAUUACAUGAGAUUGUAGCUGGCCAUUCUUACAACAGCUUCUCUAUCCAGUGCCAUCUUCCUCCCCAGUCUCUUUCUUCACAGAAUAAAAAGUACACCCUAAGACCUGUAUGCCUCCUCUGACCUUGUCUAGGCAUAUUAGGUGGAUACUGAAAUUUCUUCCCUUCCACAGCAAACCAUACCAGCCUAACACUAGUCAGUAUUCCCUCCCUUCAAGAAAGGGGAUUCCAAGAUUAGGGCAUAGGUACAGUGGAACAUCACCCUGUUAGGAUGACUGACAUCAUGGAGAUACAAAAAUAAUAAAUAUGCUGAUCACUA